rnacentral:rRNA from 1 species
CUCUGUGACUCCUACGGGAGGCAGCAGUGGGGAAUAUUGCACAAUGGGCGCAAGCCUGAUGCAGCCAUGCCGCGUGUAUGAAGAAGGCCUUCGGGUUGUAAAGUACUUUCAGCAGUGAGGAAGGCGAGUACGUUAAUAGCGUGCUCGUUUGACGUUAGCUGCAGAAGAAGCACCGGCUAACUCCGUGCCAGCAGCCGCGGUAAUACGGAGGGUGCGAGCGUUAAUCGGAAUUACUGGGCGUAAAGCGCAUGCAGGUGGUUUGUUAAGUCAGAUGUGAAAGCCCCGGGGCUCAACCUCGGAAUUGCAUUUGAAACUGGCAGACUAGAGUACUGUAGAGGGGGUAGAAUUUCAGGUGUAGCGGUGAAAUGCGUAGAGAUCUGAAGGAAUACCGGUGGCGAAGGCGGCCCCCUGGACAGAUACUGACACUCAGAUGCGAAAGCGUGGGGAGCAAACAGGAUUAGAUACCCUGGUAG